AACGAACGCUGGCGGCAUGCCUAACACAUGCAAGUCGAACGAGACCUUCGGGUCUAGUGGCUCAUGGGUGUGUAACGCGUGGGAACCUGCCCUUAGGUUCGGAAUAACUCUCCGAAAGGGGUGCUAAUACGGGAUAAUUUCUUCGGACCAAAGGUUUUUUGACGUUGGAUGUGCAUGCGUUGGAUUAGCUAGUUGGUAGGGUAAAAGCAUACUAAGGCGAAGAUCCAUAGCUUGUCAGAGAGGGUGAUCAGGCACACUGGGGCUGGGACACGGCCCAGACUCCUACGUGAGGCAGCAGAGGAUAAUAGUGAACAAUGGGCUGAAGCCUGAUCCAGCAAUGCCGCGUGAGUGAUGAAGGCCGUAGAGUUGUAAUGCGCUUGUACCCGUGAUGAUAAUGACGGUACCGAAAAAGUAAGCACCGGCUAACUACGUG
rnacentral:rRNA from 1 species